rnacentral:rRNA from 1 species
AAAGCUAUUUGCACUUCUUUAUAAGUGCAAAAUCGACAAGUUCGAAUAAAAUUCUGGGUAGAUUUUGAUAAUGACAUUAUCUAUUUAUAUGUCUUGACCAAAUUACGUGCCAGCAGUCGCGGUAAUACGUAGCAGACUAGUGUUAUUCAUCUUUAAUUGGUUUAAAGGGUACUUAGACGGUAAAUAAAGCCUGAAAGGGGACAAAUUUGCUAGAGUUAAAUAUGAGGGAGUUUGAAAGUACUUUUGGUGUAGAGAUGAAAUUUUUUGAUACCAAACACGGCACAGAUAUAGGCGAAAGCAUCUUCUUAUGUAAUAACUGACGUUGAAGGACGAAGGCUUUGUAUCGCAAACAGGAUUAGAUACCCUAAUAGUCUAAGCAGACAAUGAUGAAUGUCAUGGAUUAGAUUUAGUUUAAUCUAUAAAUGAAAGUGUAAGCAUUCCACCUCAAGAGUAAUUUGGCAACAUUGGAACUGAAAUCAUUAGACCGUUUCUGAAACCAGUAGUGAAGUAUGUUGUUUAAUUUGAUGAUCCGCAAAAAACCUUACCAUAUUUUGAAUAUUAUAUUAGAUAUAAUACAAGCGUUGCACGGCUGUCUUCAGUUAAUGUCGUAAGACUUUGGUUAGUUCCAUAAAAUUAACGGAAACCCUUGCUUUAUUUAAUAAUAAAGUAGUUCGUCUACUAUAUUAGAUGUGAUAACAGGGAUCAAGACAAGUCAUCAUGACCUAAAUCUUAUUGUGGGCUAUAGACGUGCCACAUAUGCCUUACAAAGGGAUGUAAAAUUG